CGCGGAAGGGCCUCUGCUGGGAGUCCAUAGGGCCCAGUGCACACUGAGCCGUUUUCCCCAGGCAACGCGCCGUGGCUCCUGCAGAAUCCGGGGCAAAUUCCCAGAGCUCAGAAAAGCCGCCCGAUCAGCGCGGCCAGUUGGAAACCUGACCAUCGGCGGAUUCCGAGGCCAGAGGGCAGCAGAAUGGCCUCCACCCCGAGCUGCCAGGCGCUGAUUUCACGGGAGACGCCCGCUGGGCUCCGGGGUCGAGGCUUCUUCCUCGUCCUGCCCUGAGUGGGCCUGUCCCCCCCUAGCGCGCCGCCCUGGGACGGGCCGCAGGGUCAGUGCUUUAAAGGACCCUGAGAACGGAAACGCGAGCGUUUUAUCCCAGGCCAAGGUCUUUGCACGAAGCCUCGACUCGGCCAAGUUUCUAGGCCUCCGCGGAGGCGAAAGCCGGGAAGGCCCGGUGCACCCGAGCGCCCUCGAGGUCCCGGGGCUCACGGAGGCUGGGGUGGGCGCGGGGUGGGCGCGGGCGAGAGCAGCGACCCGGCGGCCGAAGGCCUCGGCCAGGAGCACGAAGGGGCGGAGGGGCCCGACCGGCGGGAGACUUCAGCGAGAGGGCAGCCUGCGUCAGGGCCGGGUCCCCAGGGACCAGAACUGAGUUUCACUGUGGCCGAAGGAGAGCAAAGGAGGGGGAAACGGACGGUGGCGAGCAAGACAGGCGACGACCUGCUGCUGUGAACAGGGAGCCGCGGAGUAGCACCCCUGAGCGACGUCCACCAUAGGGACGUCCACCACCCGGACCGAGAAGGCGCCGCCCGUCCUCGCCCGCGCGGCGCCGUGACCGUCCAGUGGUCAGUACUCUGCGCUGUGGCCGCAGCAACCUCGCUUCGAAUCCGAGUCACGGCCGGCCCUGCACUCACGUGGCCCCCCUUGUCUUUCAAUCCUCACCGCCGCAUCCAGUGCCAAACUUGCAGGUGGCUCCGGAGCUCUCUGGUCUGGAGGAAGAAAGGAAGCCCCGUCCUUGGCCAGGGCUCGGUCAGCAGAGAACCCGAGGAUUGAGGUGCUGCCUCUGAUGCAGUGGUUGUGGUCGACCUCCUUUUUCUGGUUCACAUAUUGCAGUCAUCCGUGGGGUCGUUUUAGACCAAAUAAGAAACGAGAUGAGAUUUGCACUCCAACGAGGCUUUGGAAACAAGGUCGAAUAACCAUAGUAAGUGAAUGACGUUCCCCAACCAAGUGUGUGUGUGUGUGUGUGUGUGUGUGUGUGUCGGGGGUGGGGGGACAAUAAAAACCGCAGCUCACAGAUUAAAUUGCACCCAUCCUCAGUGCAUGGCCCCGUGGAUCGAGUCCAACAGGAACCCUCGUCUAGAGCAAGUGACAGAAAAUUGCCAUCAGCUCAGGAAGUCCGUGGAGUCUGUUUUCCGCCCAUCCCCACAACCUCACUGAAGGGAAUCACCACUGUGUUUUCUAUCUCCAGGGUUAGUUUUGCUUUAUUCUUGAAAUUCUCGAUCAAAUACCAUACUUUUUGGCCAGUGGUUUGCAUUUGGGUUGUUUUUUUGUUUAAUGCAGCAUAAAGUUUCUGCCAUGCAUCCAUUUGUUGUCAGGAUCAGUGUUUUGGUAUUGUCCCAAAAUGUGAAUAUAGUAAAGUGGAUGGAGACCGGUUAUGUCUAGUUGCAGCCCUGGAGAAGAAGGUGG
rnacentral:tRNA from 1 species